AGUAAGUAUAAGCAGGUAGUGAGUUAUCUCAAUUGAUUGUGCAUCGUCAGUUACAGAUUAAACUCCUUGUUUGAUUCUUCCCCUCUUCUUGCUACUGUACUUGACUAAUCUUAA
rnacentral:Y_RNA from 1 species